rnacentral:lncRNA from 1 species
UUGCUAAAUUACAGAGUAGAUUAGUUUGAAUAUAAAGACUGACUCGAAGCAUUAAUAAAUCGGAACAACUUACAAGCAUUUCAUAUUUUCAUCCCCGGUUCUAGUCAGAUAAAUUCAGGCAGCUUCUGUUUUGCACGAGUGUUUAUGUUUCUUUACCGAACUAUCCAAUCAAAUAUGCUCACAGUAUUACAAAUGAUAGUUAAAUUAUUUACAAGAUAAGAUAAAAUAGUGUCUGUAAUAAUAUUUAAAUAGUUCAGUCGCUAAUAUAUUCAUAUAUUUUUAGGCAAAAAAUAUUGAUAACUCCAAACUCCGAUCCCGGUCCUUCCUCCGCCGUGACUGGUGGUUCCGUGGUGUAGCUGCUGGAUGGGAGCCUACAAAACAACGCCGGCGGGGGGGUUUUGCCCCGAAGCGCCUCCGGCGUGAGAGUAAGCGUGGGUUUCGGAAGGAUAAAGAUUAGAGAAAGUGCUAUCUAUAUGUGGUGGGUGAAGAUGUAUAUGUGGUGGUUGCUGGUGGCUGGUGGCUGAAAGUGUUUGAAUAUAUGCUGAGUGUAAGUGUGUGUGAGAAUGAGUGUGUAGAAUGAAGUUAAC